AAUAGUAACAGUAAUAGUAAUAAUAAUAAUAUUUUUAGGGAUAAGAAAUUUGACUUCGCUGGAUCAUAUUGGUUAUGGUUUGAUGUCCCUGAAACUCCACACCCCACAGUAAAUAAAUAAAUUUAAAACUCAGCAAGUUUGUCAGCAGGCUUGGGAAAGUGAGAAAAAAGUGAAUAAUGGGUGGGCCAGACGACAACAGCAGAAAAAAUGAGAUGAUCCAAUCAGCAUUCUAAUGUAGAGGUGUGAACAGCCAGGAUUAACCAAUCAUGUAUUAGCUAGAGAGGUGUGGACAGUAGAGAUUUACUAUAAAUAUAAUAAUAAAUAUAAUAUUAUUUAUUAUAAAAUA